UCAAACUAUUGAAAAUGUUAGAUCUAAAGAUGCCGGUGCUUAAUUAAUAAUAAGUGUCGCUAUGGUACCGGGGAUAAUACUGCUGUAUUUGUUGUGACUCUGUUCUGUUCUGUUUUGUCUGCCAGACCCAGAUGGGGAAAGGUCACAGUCAAUAGAUGAGCCUGACUCCUGUCCUGUGUGUAGAGAAGGACUGCAGAGUCUCUCCAGCUUAUGCAAGUCUAUUCCCUGCGUGUGCUUGAGGAGAGAGAUGGAGGUUAUUGUCCAGCCAUGCAGUGGACCAUGUUUAGUGAAGGGCCUGAACCAGAAGAGAACCAGAUUGAUUGCUCUGAUUUUCUCCCACUGCAAUCUCAUGGGCGGAAAGCUGUUUGGACUCGCAUUCUGACGGCACCUAUUCACUGCAGAGGAUCCAUUGGUGAACAAGUGAUGUAAUGGUAAAUGUUCUGAUGAAGAAACAAACUCAUCUACAUCUUGGACUGCCUGAGGGUGAGUACAUUUUCAGCUGUUUCAUUUUGGGUGGAGAAUUCCUUAAAUAAAUUUGCACAAAUUUGACUGCA
ensembl:lncRNA